AUUGAACGCUGGCGGCAGGCCUAACACAUGCAAGUCGAGCGGUAACAGGACUAGCUUGUUAGUUGCUGACGAGCGGCGGACGGGUGCGUAACACGUAGGAAUCUGCCCGGUAGUGGGGGAUAGCCCGGAGAAAUCCGGAUUAAUACCGCAUACGCCUUACGAGGGAAAGGAGGGGCCUCUUUGGAGCCUUUCGCUAUCGGAUGAGCCUGCGUCGGAUUAGCUAGUUGGUGGGGUAAAGGCUUACCAAGGCGACGAUCCGUAGCUGGUCUGAGAGGAGAUCAGCCACAC
rnacentral:rRNA from 1 species